rnacentral:rRNA from 1 species
UACGGAGGGUGCAAGCGUUAUCCGGAUUCACUGGGUUUAAAGGGAGCGUAGGUGGGUUGGUAAGUCAGUGGUGAAAUCCCCGAGCUUAACUUGGGAACUGACAUUGAUACUAUCAAUCUUGAAUACUGUGGAGGUUAGCGGAAUAUGUCAUGUAGCGGUGAAAUGCUUAGAUAUGACAUAGAACACCAAUUGCGAAGGCAGCUGGCUACACAAAUAUUGACACUGAGGCUCGAAAGCGUGGGGAUCAAACAGG